CAUGGGCUUUGCUAACGCUGGGACAUUGUGCACGAGCAGAAGGAAUUCCUCACCUCUUUUGGUGGUGGUGGGUUAUUUUGGGACCAAAGUUUGGUCCAAAGUCUGCCAUACUUCAUUUCUAAAUUUGAAUUUGUCCAACGGCAGGAGGAUCAGGGAUUUUUUUCAGCUCCUUUUUACCUCGAAUAAACCUGGCAGAACCGCUUGGUCCUUGUCGUGAACCUCGCAUGAAACCCAGGUUGUCUUAAAAUAACAUUUCAGCUUACAGAGCACUGUGCAGCUCUGAUUUAAAGAGGCUAAAACUCCUUGGGGUAAAUCUCCAGCCUUCAAAAUCUGGAGCUGGGUCUGAAGGAUUAUUUUGGGAGCCGCCUCGUGUAGUUCCGACAAGGGGUUGGAGCACAAUUUGUUUCCUAUCAGUAUUUUUUUUUAAGAAAAUGACAGGUUUGGAAUAGAUGCUGACCCCCUGGGUGUGCAGGAGGAACUGAUUUCGGCAUGUUCCCAGGGCAGCAAUUAAAGAGAUGUACCUAAAAUCCCAAAGAUGAACUUUUGUUGGGAUGCAGCAAGCCAGCAGCCCCUCCUGGGCUGGCAACGGGGCAGCUCAGCGGGGAAUAAUAACGAUAAUUACAGUAUUUAGCACCAAACUCCUACCUGGGGAGUCCAGGCUGGCUGUGAAGGGAAGCAGCAGCGAGAUUUUGCUGCCCUUGGUUCACCCCAAAGGAAAAAGGACUUUCUUUUUCUCAUCUAUUCCACCCUUUCUCUUUUCCUUCUUUGGUUUUUCUUUUUUAACUGACAGUGAAAAAUCCAGGAGGUGCUGGGGUGGGGAGCAGACUGCCCCACCUGGCUGAUGAGCUGAAGAGACAAGAUCCAAAGAUAACGUGCUAUUUCUGCUCAGUGAAAUGUUUUUGACAGGCUUCUAUUUCUGUUUACAUUGUAAAUAUUUAACCCCCCUUUUUAACCGUAAACAGGUACAUAGCCCUGACAGGUGAGGUAUGUAACACACUUCACGCACACAUCUUAAAACACUCAAUACUGGUGUUGUCUGAAGGUUGAUGAGGACCAAUAUUUCUCUUUGUCGUAGUCACCGUUCAGCCCCAUCUCGUUCCCAGCAGUUCCUCAAGAAGUGAGAAAUGCCCCUCACAGAAUCACAUGGGGUUGGAAGGGACCUCUGGAGAUCACCCAGUCCAACCCCCUGCCAGAGCAGGUCCACCCAGAGCAGGUCCCACAGGAACGUGUCCAGGUCUCCUCCAUUAGGUCCAAGCGGGGCUAAGGGGAUUUUUACCCCUGGAUUCCUCAAGGCUCUCGGAGCUCUGAAUGAAGUCUGCUGAAAUAAAGGAAAAACACCCAGGAAAACAAAAAAAAACUAUGGAGAGAGACACUGUGCCCUUGCAAGAUGCCCUGGGAGAAGCUCUCCUCACCUGCCCGAGAGGAAGACGUGGCUGCAGCCCUUCGGCCCCGACAUCCCUGAGGACUCCCCUGCUCUCCCUCGGUGAUUGCCCGGAGAGCCUGGGGUGGCUGCAGAACUGGGAACGCCUGAGCUGAGCCCCCAGUUUUCCCAGCUGGAGAAGGGGAUGGUUUUUCCCUGGAUGGAGAGGCUGGCUGAGAUUACUAGAAAGGCUGAAGGACCUCUGCAAAACAUCACGUCGAUGGUUAUCUCUUUCUCCCUCCUCUCUGCUUUAAACCUCUGGCAUCUGCCUGGCUUGUGGAGGGCUCUUAAGUGGAAAUGGGGAAUUCCUGGAGCCGCCAAACAGGAUGGGACACGUCUGUGGGGCACGUGGGUAUGGAGAAGCAGGGGAGCAAGCAAAUCUUGAGGGCAUCUCCCCGGCUCCUCCACCACCUCCAAACGCUCAGGAUGGCUCCCCAGGAGGAGGAAUGAGCUGCUGGAGGUGCCACCUGUGGGCAUGUGGCACUUGCCAAGAGCCGUGACACGCCGAUGUCCCCGUCCCCCCUCCGGGCUGGGUGGUGUUUCACCCUGGGAACGCAUCUGAUUUUCUAAAUGACACUAAUGGUUUCUUUGGAACCGGUACAGAUUAUUGUGUAAACAUCUUUUUGAGAGCAUUUUUUUUUUUUUAAUGCGCCUUAUUUAUCUGAUGGACCGUGGCAACUCCUGAAGCUCGCAGGGUUUCCUGCAGUGAAGAUCUAGAGGGUGGUGGGCGUUCGCUUCGCUGCGCUCCCCCCUUGUUGGUGCA